rnacentral:rRNA from 1 species
CCUACGGGCGGCAGCAGUGAGGAAUAUUGGUCAAUGGACGAGAGUCUGAACCAGCCAAGUAGCGUGAAGGAUGACUGCCCUAUGGGUUGUAAACUUCUUUUAUAUGGGAAUAAAAUGUUCCACGUGUGGGAUUUUGUAUGUACCAUAUGAAUAAGGAUCGGCUAACUCCGUGCCAGCAGCCGCGGUAAUACGGAGGAUCCGAGCGUUAUCCGGAUUUAUUGGGUUUAAAGGGAGCGUAGGUGGAUUGUUAAGUCAGUUGUGAAAGUUUACGGCUCAACCGUAAAAUUGCAGUUGAAACUGGCAGUCUUGAGUACCGUAGAGGUGGGCGGAAUUCGUGGUGUAGCGGUGAAAUGCUUAGAGAUCACGAAGAACUCCGAUGGCGAAGGCAGUUCACUGGACUGCAACUGACACUGAGGCUCGAAAGUGUGGGUAUCAAACAGGAUUAGAUACCCUUGUAGUC